rnacentral:lncRNA from 1 species
AGCUACGCGCGAGAUAUAAAUUUUAGUUCAAAUCAAAAAUUUAUUACAAGCAGCAGCGCACCAAGAAAGUAAUUAUGAGAAGACCCCCUUCCGUCCCUCCUUCCCCACCAGCCCACCAAACAAAAAAAAAUCCGUUCCAAACUUUCCCGUGAACUGGAUUAAAAUGUGUUCUUUCAGCAUGAAAACGAACAAUGCCCACCAUCUCUGUCUCAAAAUGGAGAAUUACGCCGGGGGCAAAAAAGUGACCUCACCAAUAUUCUUGAAGAACCGGUACCAAGCGAUACUGAUCCAGAAUCAUGCGAUUGUAUUGUUUACGAUGGUGCAGCUCUUGUACACUUUGUCAUUCCCCGUUAUAGCAAAAUAUUUCAAGAAUAUUUUGAUCUGGAUCUUAAAUCUUAUGUUGAAAAAGAUGUCGCAAAAUUGGGAGCAUUGCGCAUUGAUAUUGUUUGGGAUCGAUAUGUAAUUGAUAGCGUUAAAAAUACUGUCUGUGAAGAACGAGGACAUGGAAUUCGCCGCCAAGUAACCGGCCUACUAGACUUCCACUAAACUGGCCAGAUUUCUUAAAAAGCCCAUUAAACAAAAUUUAUCUCUUCUUUUUUUAGCAAAAUCUUUUAUUGCAGUAGAAAGCAAAAUAGUAUAUGUAUCAAAUAUAGGUGACAUAAUUUACUCAUCAGCAAAGGCAAACUCGUCCCUUAAUGGUGUCAAAUGUAGUACUGAAGAAGAAGCAGAUGGCAGAAUAAUAUUACAUUUAAAGGAUGCGGGAUGCGGUGCAGCAUGGGUCCCAGAACGUGGUAGUGCGAACAGUUGAUACUGAUGUACUAGUACUAUGUAUAGCUUUUUACGCACCAUUUAAAUCUCUUGGUCUCCAGAAUUUAUGGUUUUUUUUUGAUACAGGUGCAAAGAGACUAUAUUUAGCAGCACACCUUAUGGCAGAUGCUCUUGGCGACAAGGCUAGCGCUUUUCCUGGGUUUCAUGCUUUUACAGGAUGUGACACGGUGUCAUUCUUUUCUUACAAAAGAAAAAAGUCUGGAAAACAUGGAAUUCGCAGAGCGAUAAGGCAACCGAAGCUUUUUUCAAGCGAUUUCAAGCCCAUCACUGUCUUCCAUUCUGGACGAUGUCGUCAAAGUCCUUGCUAGCUUCACUGUUCAGAUGUACAAUCCACUUAGCACUGCAACCAACACUGACACUACAAGAAAAAAAAAUAUUUUUUUCUCAAAACAAGCCAAUUCAUUUGAUACCUCCGACUUCUGCAGCACUGUAUCAACAUAUCCUAAGGGUUACUUACCAAGCUGGUCAAGUCUGGGGUCGUUCUUACGAUAUGGAUAACGUAACGCCAUCACCUAAGGGGCUGGGUUGAAAAGAAUUCAAAGUGGACUCCUCUAUGGUCUGUUCUUCCAAAUGUAUGGCAGACAUGCCAAGAGCUAGCUAAAUGAUCCUGCGUAAAACUGGAUGUAGCAGUAGUCGGUGUAAAUGCAAAAGUGAUCUUCCAUGUACACUGCAAUACAGUUCCUGCAAAAACAUGUACACCAACAGUGUAAUUCAAAAUUUAGAAGAUUCCGAAGACUAAGGAACGGUAUCCGGCGCCAUUUUGUAAAAAAUCACGCCAUUUUAUUUUUUUUCUUAAAAACGC